rnacentral:misc_RNA from 1 species
AAGUCGUAACAAGGUUUCCGUAGGUGAACCUGCGGAAGGAUCAUUAUUGAAAUUGUUAUACACAUGUUUUUAUUGCAUAAACUUUUACACUAUUAUUACAGUCAACGAAAGAAAUAAUCAGAA